rnacentral:rRNA from 1 species
UACGUAGGGUGCAAGCGUUGUCCGGAAUUAUUGGGCGUAAAGAGCGUGUAGGCGGCCCGACCAGUCCGCUGUGAAAGCCCUGGGCUCAACCUGGGAAUUGCAUUGGAUACUGGCAGGCUAGAGUGCGGUAGAGGGUAGUGGAAUUCCCGGUGUAGUGGUGGAAUGCGUAGAGAUCGGGAGGAACACCAGUGGCGAAGGCGGUGGCCUGGACCGAUGCUGACGCUGAGGCGCGAAAGCGUGGGGAGCGAUCCGG